AUUUCUUUGUGGCAUGCAUGCAUGCAUUCUCCUUUGUCAAUAAAAUUGAAUCAUUUGUGUUGUCACAUAUUCAUGCGAAAACCUAUUCUUUAUUACAUUUUCAGUUUUUCACUUCUCAGUUGCUGGUAACAAGAUUACAUCUUUGUAUGUAUCCUUCCAUCAAGUUUCUCCAACAACACGGUUGACGAUGGAACCAACGACCAUGCAUGGAGUGAUGGCAGAGCUCAACGGCUGCAGCCAACCAAGCAGGGGCAGUUUUUGACGCACUCCGUCAGUUGUGACCAGCACUGGUUGUCCUUGCUACAGCAGAAGAUAUCCGUGUCAUGGACAUUGUGGUUGUAGUGACACCCAUUGAAAAUGUCGUCCUUCCUGCCCCUCCAGCUUUCUUCAGUUUUCUGACCUAAACAUCCGCAAAAAGAUAUAGGGAAAACACGAUUGAGAAUUGAACACAAGAGAUUGAUAAGUUUAGUUUAAUUUACCUCUGAUGGGUGCAGGAAUGACAGAUAAUGCCAGGAGAACCAAUGCAAGCAGCAGGAGUCCUUGGCUGCUGCUGCGCUUCACAAAUGUCGCCAUCCUCGCUGAUGAUGAAGAAUGUGCUAGUUUUCUCAAAGUUGAUUGGUGAGUGUUUGAGAACUGAUUGCUCCGGGGUUGCCUAUAUAUAGUCAUAUAGAGCAGAGAAAAUUAGCAAGAAAUAAGUGCUAGCGAUCUUUGUGGAAUCUUUUUAUUUAUUUCCUAAAUUAAAGUUCAGCUUCAAGUCCACUGCUAAACAUGGCAGAUAUAGUGGAUUUGAUUAUCUAACGUUUAUUCAUAUACUUUCAGUAUAGGAGUUGUUGGUUUAACGACAAAUAAAGGCAAUAGUUAUUAGCUGCCCUUUUGUUAUGGGCAUAUUUAUUAUCUUCUAUUUCUAUAACAUAGGGGUAUCUAUAUAAAAAACCCAUUAUUAGCAUCCUAUUUUGACAGCUAUCUUUUCAUUCAAAUCCACAGUUAUCACUCACUAGCUAGAAUUACAAUGAAAUUUUUACCUUCGCGCCACUAAAAAAAUCAAAAUUCCAUAGCUGCUAACAAAAAAGAUGUACUGUCUAAUGGACAUAUUGCAGCAGAGCCAGAGAAGUGGAUGUAGCCGUGACCCCUUUUGGUUAAGGGCAUUUCUCCUAUAAGUCGUAUGAUCUCCAUUCCAAACAUAUAUGAGUUCUUAUGUAGGGAUUAUUAUAUUUUAUUUUAGGCCUUAUUUAACAUAGCUCAGCUCAACUUCACUAGUGGGAUAGGUUUUUUUUCUUUAGCUCCAUAAUCAGAUCACGUGGAGCUAAAGUUUAUUUUAUGAACUAUUUGUAAAAACAGGUUUAUAUGUGAAAUUCAUUCAAAUAUGGUCUCACAAAUUCCACGCAGGGGUCUAGCAAGUUGAGUUGAAGCAUGGAGAAUCAAAUCUUCAUCCCAUAUCAAUCCUUUAUGAAACCAUGUUUUUUAGAGGGUAUUUGAACUCCUUUGCUUCCAUUUUUCCAGCUCUGCUCUAUGAACUCCACCGUAAAAUUUUUAGAGCAAGUGGUACUAUUUAACACAGAGUUGUGCUCCGAAUCUAGAAAUAGGUUGUUUCUAUGCAAGUGAUCUAUUAUACCGCUCAUUUAAAUUGCACUUGACAUUUUUCCGUGAAAAAUAGAAAACAAAUGAUAGAACAUUAACAAAGGCUGUAAUUCAAACACAAAUAUGCUAUGUUCGCUUGUCUGAAAAGUCAUGACUAAAAUUACUGUCCGCUGAUUUAUUGUGAGAGAAAAAACACUGUUGACUGACAGAAAAAAAUAAAUCUUAUAAAAGAUUGUUCGAAACACAAAAAAUUGUUCUAAAGACCCCCUUAGUCUUGUAUGAAAACAUGUUUUAAGGAGCUUCACACGCAAAGCUGUUUGGAAAACGCUUAUCGGCACAAACCAGCUUUAAACGGCUUGCGAAGCUAACGUCAUUCUUUUUCCAGACAUUUCCAUUCGACAUUUUGGAAAUUUCAGCAUAUUAUAUGCAUGGGCAUAGCCCACAUUAUAAAUUCCAAACAAGUGACGUGUUUUCCUCUCUAAAAUGUCAUUUUGAAUUUCAAAAAGAGAGGUUUGUUACCGGUGCUUGAGAGGAACUAACAGUUCCUCCCUGCAGGAUACUAAGGGUAUUUUAGUAUUUUGAUUUCUAUCAUUAACUCUAACAAAACAGUUGUUUUCAUCUAAUAAACAAGCGAUCUGCGGUUCGUGCUUUUGCUCCGAUCACCGGCCGCUGCUUAACUACCUGCUGCCGGACAUGUGCCCAGAUCUCUGUUGCCCAGCUGCAAGGUCUUGUCUUCUCCAUGCUCGGCAACAUGGGCUCGAUCGGUGCCACUGUGAGGAGCAAUGCGGUUUCAUUUAGUCACCAGCACCUGAAGCUAAAUUAGUUGCUUUAGCUAGUCAAUGGCAUCAUCAAGCACGGAGGCUGUCCGUCUACACAUGCGAAACCAUUCGCCAAAAGCAGCAUAACAUCAAAAUUAGCUUCCAAAUUCCAAUGGAACGCAGAACUAGCUCACACAUGGAACCAAGCAAGAUGACACAAAUGGAGAGUCCCUAUAGCUGACCGUGCUCUAUUUGGAUGUGGGAGUCUCUGCAGUCUCAUCGAUUUUAGAAUCGUACGUUCUUAUCAAUACCAAACAGGCCAACCAUGGAAAGAGCGACGAUAGACAAUUGCGCAUGUCAACAGCUGGCCGGGCUCCUCUUGCCGUGCGGGAGUGCACUGGCCGAACAUGAGGCAGCGAUAGAUCAUCAUCGCCGGCGUCUAAUUGUCUCAGCCACCGCCGCUGCUGCCUAAUGGAAGGCAUGGAUUCUGAAAUGUAGGCGUAUGCAUUUGUGGUUGUGGGAUUGAAUGGAUCGAGACGAGCAGAAAGAAAACUCUCACAUGUGAAAGUGAGCUAGUUCCUGGCCCACUAAAUUUUAUUUCCGCUACACAACUUAAGUUCUUCUCAAUUGGUUCCUUCUAAUUUUUAACCAUUCGAUCUAGCCAAACGAAGAGCUCUCAUUAAUACCAAGCACUGUAAACAUUUCUCAAGAUAUUUACAUAUGCACUUGCCCAUUUCAUUUUGAAAUUGGCAGCCGCCUCAUCCUCUCUUUCCUCUGCGUUCUCCUUUCCGCACCCUGGGUUUCCACUAGAGACGACGCUCUCAGCCUCAAUGGGAGAUCGAUCCCUGCUAGCGCCGGUACCCGGCCAUGCCGGCACGAAUAUCUCUACUCUAUGCGUGUGCCUGCCCAACACGUUUAAUUUGGAACGCAUGUAUUCUUGGCAAAACCCCAAUCGUUUAUUCUCAGUGGCUGUCAAGAAGAUUACAUCUUUGGCGACGAUGGUCGGUAUACAUCAAUCAUCAAGUUUCUCAAACAAACAACUAGAGAGUUUAGAAACGUCUAGACGCAGUUGGUCUUGCAGGGGCAGUUGGCGGCGCACUCCGGCGCCGAUGGCCAGCACAGGUUGUCCUUGCUACAGCAGAAGAGCGCCGACAGAUCAUGGGGAUUCUGGUUAUAGUGACAUCCGUUGAGCAAGUCAUUGUCGUCGUGGAUGAUCGCCUUG
rnacentral:lncRNA from 1 species